CUAGCUAACUGAAAUCAUAGAGUUUAUUUAAACUCAUGAUGUCGUAAGGGAAAAUAAUGAUAAUACCUUACUAAUAGUGUCGUCCAAAUCUGGUGCCAGAAGACUCGGUAAGACCAGAGACGCAAACGUUAAUCAUCUUAAACAGGCGUAAAGGGUUUGUAGGCAGCUUUCAGAAGUACUAUAAUUAAGCAAAUAAAGUAGUCUAAUUGGAAGCUAGAAUCAAAUGGAGGUUAUAGUGUAUAACGCUUAGAGGAGGGCUGAUAUCCUUAGAUCCUAAGCAGAAUACUCAGGGCGAAGGCCACUUUCCACUAAUGAUUGACGCUGAGAAACGAAGGUUAGGGUAGGAAAUAGGAUUAGAUACCCC
rnacentral:rRNA from 1 species